AUUGAACGCUGGCGGCAGGCCUAACACAUGCAAGUCGAACUGUAACAGGAAGCAGCUUGCUGCUUCGCUGACGAGUGGCGGACGGGUGAGUAAUGUCUGGGAAACUGCCUGAUGGAGGGGGAUAACUACUGGAAACGGUAGCUAAUACCGCAUAACGUCGCAAGACCAAAGAGGGGGACCUUCGGGCCUCUUGCAAUCGGACGUGCCCAGAUAGGAUUAGCUAGUAGGUGGGGUAACGGCUCGCCUAGGCGACGAUCCCUAGCUGGUCUGAGAGGAUGACCAGCCAGACUGGAACUGAGACACGGUCCAGACUCCUACGGGAGGCAGCAGUGGGGAAUAUUGCACAAUGGGCGCAAGCCUGAUGCAGCCAUGCCGCGUGUAUGAAGAAGGCCUUCGGGUUGUAAAGUACUUUCAGCGGGGAGGAAGGCGAUAAGGUUAAUAACCUUGUCGAUUGACGUUACCCGCAGAAGAAGCACCGGCUAACUCCGUGCCAGCCGCCGCCGUAA
rnacentral:rRNA from 1 species